rnacentral:misc_RNA from 1 species
GAAAUGCGAUAAGUAAUGUGAAUUGCAGAAUUCAGUGAAUCAUCGAAUCUUUGAACGCACAUUGCGCCCGCCAGUAUUCUGGCGGGCAUGCCUGUUCGAGCGUCAUUUCAACCAUCGAGCCCCCGGGCUUGUGUUGGGGACCUGCGGCUGCCCGCAGGCCCUGAAAACCAGUGGCGGGCUCGCUGUCACCCCGAGCGUAGUAGUUAUCCAACUCGCCCAGGGCGUGCUGCGGGUUCCGGCCGUUAAGCCACCCAUUACCCCAAGGUUGACCUCGGAUCAGGUAGGAAUACCCGCUGAACUUAAGC